UACUAGGAGUAGAGUCUAUUGUAGUAGUAAUGGGCCUUCCUAAGGCAAGGGUCAGCUGUAUGUAAACUUUCUCAAACUAGAACUGUGUGUUUUGAGACUGAUUGGAAAUGUCUCUCUUUCUACUGCUACAUUUUAAUGGAGGAGCAAUAUAGAAACAUAAGUAUUGUCUGUGUUAUCUAUUCUGUGCAUUCUGAGGGUUCAUGUUCUCAUCUAUGUCCUGAAUCUACAUGGGGAGAUGAUAGCACAGAUCUCUAUUGGUGGAGUCUAUAGGCUGCAGAAAAAACCUUGAAGAAGGUCUUCGAUAGCAGCAUGAAAGGCUGCUGUCCAGAGGCCAUUAGUACGUGACUGGGAAGAGGAGGACUUGGCUGUGACUGGGCUGGUAGCUUCACAGAAGGUCCUUGAGCAACUGUUUAUUUCCAGAGUGUUCCUGGGCAAUUCUGAAUGUAUUCAUCCUCUCUUGAAAGUCUAGCUACUUACAAUCUUGAGUCUAGGGGGAGAGAGGGAGUUGCAUACUGACGUUUAAGUGCCCCUUUUUACUGUC